CCGACACUGCAGGUAACAGACCACCAGCUCAGCCUCAGGCCAGAAACCAAGGACUAUCCUCAUGGGUGUACCUGAGGCCAUGGAGGCUCUGACUCCCCACCUGACCACUCCUCUCCUCACCAAGCACAGCUGCCUUUAUUCAUCAGUGACAGCUCCAGAAUAUGGGUGCCAUUGUUUUGCUGGGGAUUGGGAUACAGAGAGGAAGCAGAGCUGGGCCUGUCCUGGCCAGCCCCAGGGUGGUGGCAGCCUGCCUUGGGGAAUAGCCUGGUACUGGGCAGUGUGUCGUGAGCUUUGGUAGAAGUCCAACUGGGACUGUGGGAGUAGAGGCAGGGUCUGACCAGCCUGGAAGUCAGGGAGGGCUUCCUGUAGGAGCGGCUGCUAUAACUGAGUUUUUUCUAGGAAUUAACCAGGGGAAGAGGGGAAGGCAGGGAGGAAGGAACUGACUGGCUUUCCAAGGAGGGAGAUAAGAAGUGUGUGCUGUGAACAGGGAGCUUUGAGCUGUGGAGUUAGGCUGGGCCUGAAAAAUGGGAGGAGAGUAGCAAGGAACAAGGGCUGCAGAGAACUCUGGGAUCAGGCCUCCCCAACCCCAACCACACUCAAUUCCCUUUAGGUAUCUUGGGGUAAAAAAGGGGCAUCUAUGAUAAGUCUGGCAACUCCCCACAAUGCAUUCUCCUCUGACAUCAAAGGCUCUGAAAAGUCCUGCAGCUAAGAAACAUUUAACUGUGCUUGUCCAGCAUUCGACCUCAGACUCUUCCUUUCUUAGACCUAGAAACAUUGCUUAGGAAAUGCUGCUAGAGCACAAUCCUCUCAUUCCACAGCAGAGGUUCCAAGAGGCCUGGUGACUUGCUGGAGGACAACACAUAGUGAGUGGUUGGGCCGGAGGGCAGCUGGGUGUCUUGGCUCCUCCUUUCUAAGCUCUCCACCCACUAGUUUCUGACAGGUCUAGUCCUGGAUGGGAACAGGGGGAGCUGCUAAGGUGGCUGAUACACGAGGUCUCCCCAGCCCAGGGCUCCCAGCUGCCUCCUCCCCUCUGGGGGCGGGGCUUGGCAUCAAGGGCGGAGCUAUGACCAUUCUCUGCUGUGAGUGGCGCAGUUGCCAUCCCCAUUCUACAGACUAGGAGCUGAGGUCCAGUCUCACACACGUGGUAAAGCAUGGAGUUGGAAUUUAUGCAGUCUGUGUAACCGCAAAGACUGCUCUUUCCACUCCCCUAAUCUCUUUUUCCCACUCUUCAUAUAAUAGUGGAGGAAUCUGCAAAUGAAAUUCUAUCUGUAGGUACAAUUCCAGGGCUAUAUAUGGACACUGAGAAAGCUCUCAGAAGAAAAUAUUCCAAACACGCCAGGUGCGGUGGCUCACGCCUGUAAUCCCAGAACUUUGGGAGGCGGAAGGGGGCGGAUCACCUGAGGUUGGGAGUUUGAGACCAGCCUGAUCAACAUGGAGAAAUCCUGUCUUUACUAAAAAUGCAAAACAACAACAACAACAAACCAAAAAACCAGCUGGGCGCCGUGUCACAUGCCUGUAAUCCUAGCUACUAGGGAGGCUGAGGCAGGAGAACCGCUUGAACCUGGCAGGCGGAGAUUGUGGGCAUCAGCUGAGAGAAUUUUUGGAAGGACUUAGGGAAGAAACUAAGGAAAGACAACAGUACGCAGCAACAAGAUGACUUGCCUGAGGCCCAGAGAGUUUUGGCAACUUUCCUGAGGAUGCACAUAGGAAGCAGGAAAUCAGGCCUCUGUGGACACUUGAGCCUGAGGUGCCUGUGGGGCCUCACGGGGCGAUAUCCAGUGGACAUCUGGACAUGCAGUUCUGGAGCUGGCCUGAGGGCUGGAGCCAGGUAAGGGAGGAUGAUGGAUGAUUGAUGAGACAGAGCAGGGAGUGGGUGUAGAGAGAGGACUAGGACCAAGGUGUGGGAUAUGAGGGACCUUGACCUAUAAAGGGACAGAGGAGAGGAAUCUGCAGCCAGAGGGGUGGGAGAGAGGCCAGGAGAGCUUCAGUCACCAGAGCCGGAAGGGUGUGGGUAUGUCUGACAGGUGGAAGGGGCCCAGUGCCAAAGGUUGGGGCUUGCUGGUGCACUGCUCCUCCAUUUUUUUUUUUUUAUUUUAGAGACUGGGUCUUGCUCUGUUGCCCAGGCUGGAGUGUAGUGGUGUGAUCAUAGCUUACUGCAGCCUCAAACUUCCAAGCUCAAUCCAUCCUCCCGCUUUGGCCUCCCAAAGUGCUGUGAUUACAGGUGUGAGCCACUGCACCUGGCUAUGCUGCUCUUGUGUUCUCCCAUGGUUGCUUACAGUGUGUUUCCCUCUUCCCUGGCAUCCUCCCAAGGCUCCCAGCAGCCCCUGCACACCCUCCAGAAGGCUGGGGGAAGGUGUGGGGCAACAGCACCCCUGGGCUCCAUGCUAAAGUCCCAGGAGGUGCCAAAGCUGGAGCUGAGAGCAGAAGUGGGACAGGGAGGCAGGAACCCCACAGGGGUCACCACCAUGACAGGCUGCAGUGGGAGCCAAAGCCUGACUCCACGUGGCAGAGCUGUGGCCUCAGUCAUCCCACCCACUCCAGGGACAGAGCCGAGGCCUCAUUCAUUGGCACCAGUCCUGAAGCCACCACAGACUUCAGAGGGGCUGGCUUGGCCCCAGGCCCAUCUCUUUCCUCCACACCCAGGCCAACCUCUCAGCCUCUCAGCUUGGGAACUACUGUGAGACCCUAGCAUGUGCUCCAAGAUGCACGGACUGCGACUCAGCACCGGUAAGGGACUGGCCCAUGGUCACUCAGUUACUCCAUGGCAGAGCCAAGCUGGAAUCCAGAUCUGGCUUCGAAGUCCAGUGCUCACUCUCCAGCAUCUUCUGCCCUCAGUGUGAGCCCUUCCUGAGGCUGCCAGCCGGAUCUCUGGACAGCAGUAGGGAGCCAGCUUCAGACAUCCAAUGAUCCACAGAGUCAUAGGCAAGCACCGGGAAGUUCAGAUCUUUUCUGGGCUCUAUUCUGAGAGGGGUCUCCUAGCACAUUCUCCCUGAGCCCAUGUUCAAGCCCCAGCUUUGCAUUUGUUACAUACGAUCAUGUCUGGUUUCCAGGGCUUGUGUCUGACCAUUCUCCAUGUCCUUAAACUCAGCAAUGGGGCUAGGCACACCAAAGGUGCCUAAUGCACGUACUGAGUGAGGGACUCUAGUCUUGAGACCAGAUGGGGAAAUGACAGGGAGGUCUUGAGAUGCCUCAGGUGGUAAUCAAGCAGAGUACGGCAGGCCACAUGCCUGAGUAGCUGUAGGAAGGCUUUUUUUCCCAGGUGAGGGCCUGGCCAUCUACCAAUCAGAGGCAUGACACUCAGCUGUGAUUGCUUCGCCCUCCCAUACCUUUCUAGCACUGACCCCAAAGCCUCAACCACACUCAACCUAUGGCAGGGACAGGUGGUAAAGCACUGGACCUUAGCUGGGGCUAGAAACAUACCCUUGGGGCAGGUCUGGCCCAUGCUGGUGGCGCUUGCAGUCUACUGGCCCUCCUCAGGAGGGACUGGCAUGGGGGCCUUUCUGUCUGGGCCAGUAUGUCAUCCCACCCUGAGAGCCAAGCAUUUAGCUGAAGUUCACUGUAAGGUGCUCCUGUGGAGAGGCGUGCACUGGAAAGAGGGAGCAUCCUAAGACUUUGGUUGAACAUGCAUGCCUCCUGACUCUCCGAUGUGAGAAUGUGGGAUGUGGAGACAAAAGUGACUCCAUCUUGGAUGCUGAUAUGGUUUGGCUCUGUGUCCUCACCCAAAUCUCACCUUUGUAAUCCCCAUAAUCCCCACGUGUUAAGGGCAGGAACAGGUGGAGGCAAUUGAAUCAUGGGGUGGUUUCUCCCAUGCUGUUCUUGUGAUAAUGAGUGAUUUAUCUUGAGAUCUGAUGGGUUUUAUAAGUGUCUGACAUUUCCCCUGCUUGCACUCAUUUUCUCUCCUGUCACCCUGUGAAGAGGUGCCUUCCACCAUGAUAGUAAGUUUCUUGAGGUCUCCCCAGCUAUGUGGAACUGUGAGUCAAUUAAACCCCUUUUCUUUAUAAAUUACUCAGCCUCAGGUAUUUCUUCAUAGCAAUGUGACAGUGGACUAAUACAGAUGCUAAUCCACCAUGUUCACUACUGAUUAGCCCCAGUCCUGUGAAAACCUCCUGAUUCUCACUUUGUUUACUGUCCUUAGCAUAAGAACAUGUAAACCUUGAUGUUAUUGCACAAAUUAUAGGUUAUGACACAUAUAGCGUUCUUGCCUGUUCUGGAGGGCUGCCAUUAACUGUCUUGCACAGAGCAUGUAUACUCUUUCCCUGUGAUAUAUAAGCCCUGGGUCUGGGGAGUAAUAGUGUGAAGAACUGCCUGUUUUGCUGUUCAACACUACACUUCCAUCCUUAAGUUCCCCAGAUAAAUCACUCUGUGCCGAAAAAUUGGAUUUGUCUGCCUCACUCUGGCUUCUUAGCUACUUCUGCAUUUGGGGGUUGCUUUGCAAAUAUGGCCUUUUAAUGAACAGAGGGAUAUAAAAAUUCCUGGAAUUCUUUGAGGGCCAAACACAGGCUACUGUUUUCAGGGCUCCUACUAUGUGUAGGAUAAGUGAUAAGAGCUCAUUUCAUUCUUGGAGCUGUUUCAUCCAAUUCUCCCCAUUUUAUAGGUAAGGACACUGAGGCUCAAAGAAUUUUAAGUGACUCAUCUGUGGUCAGCCAGCCAGUACAUAGCCAAGCCAGACCCUCUCUGGGCCUUGGUCUCCCCACUAAACCAUAAGGAGCUGGAUAAGAAGUUUUCUGCUAUAUAAUAAAGAUAGCACAAAAAGGGGGAUGAGGGAAUAGAGUUAUAUAGGAGUAACUAGAGUAACUUAAUUCUCACUGGAAUGAAGUUAGUAUAAAUAUCAAGUAGAUUCUGGUGAGUUAAGAUGUAUAUGGCAAGCCCCAGAGCAACCAUUAAGAACAUAACUCAAAUAUAGUGAAAAAAAAUCAUUAAAUAAAUUAAAAUAUUACAUUAGAAAAUAUUCACUUAAAGCAAAAAGGAGAAAUAGAGGAACAAAAAAAGACAUGAGACAUAUACAAGACAAAAAGCAAAAUGGCAGAUGUAAAUCCAACUGUAUGAAUAACAUUAAAUGUGAUCGCUUAAAUAAUCCCAAAAGGAAGAGAUUGUCAGACUGGGUAAAAAACAAAAUCGAACUAUAUACUGUCUCUGAGUCUCACUUGUGAACCAGAUACAAAUAGGUUGAAAAUAAAAGGAUGGAGAAAGAUAUGCCAUGCAAAUUGCAAUAAUAAGAAUGCUGCUGUGGCCAUAAUAAAAUCAGAAAAAAUAGACUUUAAGGCAAAACGUGCUACUAGAGAUAAGAGGGUCAUUUUGUAGUGAUAAAGAAUUAAUCCACCAGGAAGUUAUAACAAUUAUAAACAUAUAUGCAUCUAACAAUAGAGUCCCCAAGUUCAUGAAGCAAAGUUUAACAAAUUGAGAGAAAAUACAGACAAUAAAACAAUAAUAGGUCGGGACUCCAAUAUUGUUUUUAGUAGGGUAUAGAGAAACUAGACAGAGAUCAAUAAGGAAAUACAUGAUUAGAACAACAUUAUUCGCAAACUAGACCUAACAGACAUCUAUAGAACACUUCACAGCAGCAGAACAUGCUUCUGAAGCGCAUGUGGAACAUUUUGAAGGAUAGGCCAUAUGAUAGGCCAUACAACAAGCCUCAAUAGAUUUAAAAGUGAUUGAAAUUGUACAAAGUAUGUUUCUGGUUAAAAUAAAAUUGGAAAUUAAUAACAAAAAUAAAUUUGUGAAAUUCACAAAUACAUGGAAAUUAAACAGCAUACUAAUAGUCAAGGAAAGAGAAAAGCAAAAGGAAAUUAGGAAAUGCUUUGGGAGAAGUUAAAAUGACAUUGCACCAAAACUUGCGGGAUGCAGGCGGGGUGCAGUGAGUGGCUCACGCCUGUAAUCCCAGCUCUUUGGGAGGCAGAGGUGGGCGGAUCACUUAAGGUCAGGAGUUUGAGACCAACCUGACCAAGACAGUGAAAUCCCAUCUCUACUAAAAUACAAAAACAAAUUACCUGAGCGUGGUAGCGGGCAGCUGUAAUCCCAGCUACUUGGGAGGCUGAGGCAGGAGAAUUACUUGAACCUGGGAGGUGGAGGUUGCAGUGAGCCAAGAUUGUGCCACUGCACUCUAGCCUGGGCAACAUGAGUGAAACUGUAUCUCAAAAACAAAAAAACAACUCCCCCCCAAAACAAACAAAAAAACAACUUGCAGGAUACAGCUAAUGCAGUGUUUAGAGGGAAAUUUAUAUAUGUAAAUGUCUAUAUUAAAAAGGAAAAAAGAUCUCAAAUCAACAACCUAACCUUCUACCUUAACAUACUGGGAAGAAAAGGGCAAACUAAAUCUGAAGUGGGCAGAGGGAAGGAAAUAAUAAAGAUUAGAGUGGAAAUUAGUGAAAUAAAGAGUAGAAAAACAAUAGAGAAAGCCAAUAAAACCAGAAGUUGGUUCUUUUUUUUUUUUGAGAGAGUCUUGUAUUGUCUCCCAGCCCGGAGAUCAGUGGCGCAAUCUUGGCUCAUUGCAACUUCUGCCUCCCAGGUUCAAGUGAUUCUCUUGCCUCAGCCUCCGAGUAAUUGGGACCACAGGUGAGCCAUCACGCCCAGCCCAGAAGUUGGUUCUUUAAAAAGAUUAACAAAUUUGGCUGGGCGUGGUGGCUCACACCUGUAAUCCCAGUACUUUGGGAGACUGAGGCGGGUGGAUCACUUGAGGCCAGGAG